UUCCAGACUCCUACGGGAGGCAGCAGUGGGGAAUAUUGCACAAUGGGGGAAACCCUGAUGCAGCGACGCCGCGUGAGCGAAGAAGUACCUCGGUAUGUAAAGCUCUCUCAGCAGGGAAGAAGAUGACGGUACCUGACCAAGAAGCCCCGGCUAACUACGUGCCAGCAGCCGCGGUAAUACGUAGGGGGCAAGCGUUAUCCGGAUUCACUGGGUGUAAAGGGAGCGUAGACGGCGACGCAAGUCUGGAGUGAAAGCCCGGGGCCCAACCCCGGGACUGCUCUGGAAACUGCGGCGCUGGAGUACGGGAGGGGCAGGCGGAAUUCCUGGUGUAGCGGUGAAAUGCGUAGAUAUCAGGAGGAACACCGGCGGCGAAGGCGGCCUGCUGGACCGUGACUGACGUUGAGGCUCGAGAGCGUGGGGAGCAAACAGGAUUAGAUACCCCGGUAGC
rnacentral:rRNA from 1 species